UCGGGAAUUUUGGGCAAUGGGCGAAAGCCUGACCCAGCAACGCCGCGUGAAGGAUGAAGUAUUUCGGUAUGUAAACUUCGAAAGAAUGGGAAGAAUAAAUGACGGUACCAUUUAUAAGCUCCGGCUAACUACGUGCCAGCAGCCGCGGUAAUACGUAGGGAGCAAGCGUUGUUCGGAUUUACUGGGCGUAAAGGGCGCGUAGGCGGCCCGGUAAGUAGGGGGUGAAAUCUCAUGGCUCAACUGUGAGGCUGCCUUCUAGACUGCCAGGCUUGAGCACAGUAGAGGCGAGUGGAAUUCCCGGUGUAGCGGUGGAAUGCGUAGAGAUCGGGAAUAACAUCGGUGGCGAAGGCGGCUCGCUGGGCUGUUGCUGACGCUGAGGCGCGAAAGCGUGGGGAGCAAACGGGAUUAGAUACCCAAGUAGUCCCUGAGCGGGCUGGCAAGGCGCAU
rnacentral:rRNA from 1 species